rnacentral:rRNA from 1 species
CUACGGGAUGCACCAGUGGGGAAUAUUGCACAAUGGGCGCAAGCCUGAUGCAGCCAUGCCGCGUGUAUGAAGAAGGCCUUCGGGUUGUAAAGUACUUUCAGCGGGGAGGAAGGGAGUAAAGUUAAUACCUUUGCUCAUUGACGUUACCCGCAGAAGAAGCACCGGCUAACUCCGUGCCAGCAGCCGCGGUAAUACGGAGGGUGCAAGCGUUAAUCGGAAUUACUGGGCGUAAAGCGCACGCAGGCGGUUUGUUAAGUCAGAUGUGAAAUCCCCGGGCUCAACCUGGGAACUGCAUCUGAUACUGGCAAGCUUGAGUCUCGUAGAGGGGGGUAGAAUUCCAGGAGUAGCGGUGAAAUGCGUAGAGAUCUGGAGGAAUACCGGUGGCGAAGGCGGCCCCCUGGACGAAGACUGACGCUCAGGUGCGAAAGCGUGGGGAGCAAACAGGAUUAGAUACCCCCGUAGUC